rnacentral:misc_RNA from 1 species
AAUACAAACCAUCUUCGAAAAUGUAAACCUUUCCGCUCAUUUGUCAGAUAUAGCACAACCAGCAGGGAUUCAUAUUGUAAGAUACAAUCAGAGAACUAUUACUCACAUAAAUGUGAGUCCACCUUCUAUAAUAAAUAAAAUGUCUCACAUGUAUGUGAGUGCAAUGAACACUAUUUUUUGUAGCACAAUGCCAUUGCCAGUACCUAACAAUCUCCCCAACUCCAUAGGGUACAAAAAGAUAACACUAGGCCACUGCUACAUUGAUAAGCAAUCAACAGAACUCCAUUGUGACAAAACUUAAAAGGCAAUAUAUUGAUCCCUUUUUCCUAUAAAUUCAACAGGAUUUAAAACAACAACAUAAGG